rnacentral:rRNA from 1 species
AACGAACGCUGGCGGCAUGCCUAACACAUGCAAGUCGAACGAGACCUUCGGGUCUAGUGGCGCACGGGUGCGUAACACGUGGGAAUCUGCCCUUGCUUCGGAAUAACAGUUAGAAAUGACUGCUAAUACCGGAUGAUGUCGAAAGACCAAAGAUUUAUCGGCAAAGGAUGAGCCCGCGUAGGAUUAGGUAGUUGGUGGGGUAAAGGCCUACCAAGCCGACGAUCCUUAGCUGGUCUGAGAGGAUGAUCAGCCACACUGGGACUGAGACACGGCCCAGACUCCUACGGGAGGCAGCAGUGGGGAAUAUUGGACAAUGGGCGAAAGCCUGAUCCAGCAAUGCCGCGUGAGUGAUGAAGGCCUUAGGGCUGUAAAGCUCUUUUACCAGGGAUGAUAAUGACAGUACCUGGAGAAUAAGCUCCGGCUAACUCCGUG